UACGAAGGGGGCUAGCGUUGCUCGGAAUCACUGGGCGUAAAGGGUGCGUAGGCGGGUUCUUAAGUCAGGGGUGAAAUCCUGGAGCUCAACUCCAGAACUGCCUUUGAUACUGAGAGUCUUGAGUACGGGAGAGGUGAGUGGAACUGCGAGUGUAGAGGUGAAAUUCGUAGAUAUUCGCAAGAACACCAGUGGCGAAGGCGGCUCACUGGCCCGUUACUGACGCUGAGGCACGAAAGCGUGGGGAGCAAACAGG
rnacentral:rRNA from 1 species